AUCAUGUUGCUUGCAUAUUUUUUGUCUAACAAGCUGGAUACUUCAGUUUUGAAUAUAAACAUUGAGUAGGUGCUCAAAUAUUUUGCUAAUGAUAGUUUCCAACUUGCUUUUUAGCAGAACUACAGAACUAUUAGCAGCUUUUAAUUAUGUGUACUUAAAAUGGAUUUGGUGUCCAGGACAUGUGGAGUUGAGAUCAGAGUAAUGACAUCCUGUAUGCGCUUGGACACCCAGCAGAUUGAAAAUAUAGAAGCAAAGAUAUCCAAUACGAGGCCACGAUGCCCGACAGAGAUGCAGCCAAUACGCGCCCAAUCUUUAUUUCUUGAUGUUGGAACAACAAAUAAGAGCAUGUUCAUGUUUAUUUAUUAUGGUUUUUUUUCGAGAAAUUUUGGGGAUUUACAAGCUGAAAUUAUUGACUGUCUGAAAAAAUGUUUUAACCAAAACUGUUUGAACAAUGUGCCCUGGUUCUGCAUUCAUGGAACUGUAAAAAAAAUUGAACAAGUUCAGUCGGAGUUUUGUUCCUGUUAAUAUUCCAUUCUUAGUGUCAGUUUCUUUCCACUUGCUCAUCUUUUAAUGUUGAACUAUACAUGUACUUAUUAUUAAAGUUUUGUUGUCUUCCUAAACUAAUUAGAUUUUUUAAGCACUACUGAACUAAUUGGAUGCCAUCUUAAAUUACCUUCCCUUUGACAUUAUUGUACAGAUUCCUGAAACACUGUCCAGAAUUCCACUGCUACAGAAUUGAAAUUCGAUAGCACAUGAACGAGGACGGAUCCAAGGUUGAGUACUGGGUGUGGAACCCCUUCAGAUCCAAGUUGGCUGCUGUUGUACUCUGUGGUGUGGACAACAUCUGGAUUGUCCGAGGAAUUACAGCUUAGGGACUUGGGAGGCGAUCGUAAAAGCGGUGUGCUACAGUGUAAUGCACUAGCAAUAUGUGAAGUUUUUUUAAGGAGGGGGUUAAUAAACAAUCAGAAAAUUCUUUUGCCCCCUCAGAAAACUAUGUUCCGUGUUUGGCCCCUCUGGGCAUUGAUGUGAAGCUAUACAGUCGUGUAAUAUGACCAAACUCAUCACCUCGGGGUUGAUCACAUUCGUCGUGAAUAGGUGGAUAACAUGACCAUCAUCGA